UACGAAGGGGGCUAGCGUUGCUCGGAAUCACUGGGCGUAAAGGGCGCGUAGGCGGCCUGAUAAGUCGGGGGUGAAAGCCUGUGGCUCAACCACAGAAUAGCCUUCGAUACUGUCGGGCUUGAGACCGGAAGAGGUAAGUGGAACUGCGAGUGUAGAGGUGAAAUUCGUAGAUAUUCGCAAGAACACCAGUGGCGAAGGCGGCUUACUGGUCCGGUUCUGACGCUGAGGCGCGAAAGCUAGGGGAGCAAACGGG
rnacentral:rRNA from 1 species